UACGGAGGGUGCGAGCGUUGUCCGGAAUCACUGGGCGUAAAGGGCGCGUAGGCGGCCUGCUAAGUCGAACGUGAAAUCCCUGGGCUCAACCCAGGAACUGCGUCCGAUACUGGUUGGCUUGAAUCCGGGAGAGGGACGUGGAAUUCCAGGUGUAGCGGUGAAAUGCGUAGAUAUCUGGAGGAACACCGGUGGCGAAGGCGACGUCCUGGACCGGUAUUGACGCUGAGGCGCGAAAGCCAGGGGAGCAAACGGG
rnacentral:rRNA from 1 species